rnacentral:lncRNA from 1 species
CUUGCUCGCGCUCUCGCGAGAGAGCCGUCAUCUCUCCGGUGCCCGGGAGAGGGGCCGGGCGGGACGGUACAGCAACCGGAGGAACCUUGAUUCCCUGCCCCGCAAGCCCAGCACCGGUUUUGCCGCCUUGUCUCGAAGGGUCAACCAGGCCAUCUCCUGCCUCGGGACGGAGAGCGCCCUGGAAAAGGCGGAGGGGCCGACCUUAGUCACACAAGAGCGAUGGCAAGAUUUUCACCCAAGCCAUCUGACUUGGAACCCAUGGAUUAACCAACUGCCACUGGAGGCAAAUCCAGAGACCAAGGGAGCAGUUUAUACAGAAACAGAUGCCGGCAUUAACCCACAGGGAGUUAUUGUUACAGACUGAAGAAUAGAAAAAGAAAAAGCCAAAUAGAGCCUUAUUCCACCCAGCUUAGCUUCCAUAGAACAUUGUGAAUGAGAGAGUAGAUUCUUGAGAAAAUCCUGGGGUUACCCAGUUUUCAUGACUCGUUUCGUUAGACCAUCAUUUCCCAAAGUGUGUUCUUUAUAAAAAGUAGUUCUUCAGAAGGCUGGAAAGUAUUGUUUGGAAGGGGGUU